rnacentral:tRNA from 1 species
GGGACCGUAGCUCAGUUGGUUAGAGCAGCUCCCUGCGGUACAGAUAUUGUGUGCCGUAGACGCGAUGCGGGUCGGAGGUUCGAAUCCUCCCGGUCCCC